AUACGUAGGGUGCGAGCGUUAAUCGGAAUUACUGGGCGUAAAGGGUGCGCAGGCGGUUGUGCAAGACAGAUGUGAAAUCCCCGGGCUUAACCUGGGAAUUGCAUUUGUGACUGCACAGCUAGAGUGUGUCAGAGGGGGGUAGAAUUCCACGUGUAGCAGUGAAAUGCGUAGAGAUGUGGAGGAAUACCGAUGGCGAAGGCAGCCCCCUGGGAUAACACUGACGCUCAUGCACGAAAGCGUGGGGAGC
rnacentral:rRNA from 1 species